rnacentral:lncRNA from 1 species
AAACACUGGACAUGGGCCCUGACAUCCAGGAUUGGAGGAGAUUCCAGAAAAAUGAGAGACUUCUCUGACACCUUUAACCAGGGACGGCAUCUUGGAGCAGAAGCUAGACAGGCUGUGUCAAGCAAGGGUCGAGAUGGUCUAGGGAAAAGCAAGCCUGAGAGGCCUUGGCUCCAAAGUGUGGGUUCCCGUUCUUGGCACCUCUCCACCACUCCUAGGCCCUAUGUGGAACAAUCAAAGCCACAGACAGCUUACCCCCAUUAGGUCUCGGCCUCACUGGGACCCAGUCAUCUCCAGAGAACUGGCACCAGCCCCGGGAGAGGACACAGCUGCAGAAGAAGCUUAUGUUACAGAUAUGGAAAUUGAGUCUGGGAAAGCUGGAGACUCUCCUUCAAGGACACUCAUCAGAUAACUUGGAGACUAUGACUCAGAUUAUGACGGAUGAUCUUGAGGUCUCUUUCUUAUACCGGAGAAGUCGCCACUGAAUUCUGUGAAUUACCCCUGAGGAUCACAGCGAGUUUAUUCUCUGGGCUACUAUACAGGAUUUUGCCGAGGGCUUCCUUCCAUGGCCGGCCACCGGCUUUGCACACACGUCUACCGUGGGCCCUACGCCACAGCAGAGCUGGAGGGGCCGCCGACUCUGCAGGAUGCCCGUGGAUCUCAGGCUCCUGCAAACACCGGCAUCUAAGGAGUUAGCUGGGAGGCCGCCCCGGUGGGAGCCUGCAAGGUGGGGAGACCGAAAAGCCAGUCCUUCACCCCGCUGUGCUGUGUCUCUCUCUGCCUUAGGUGGCUCUCAGAGACUGUAUCUGCCUGUGGCACAGGCCCUUGGCAGACAGGAAGCUACGGGCCAGGACGUAGCUUCUACUGGGUGACCCUGGUCCCUGUGCUUGGGAAACACAGCCUGUGGCCUUUAUCGCGCCAGCCCCGGGAGGCUGGGGUGGUAGCUGCUUCCACCCCAUGCCCCCACCCCCGACCCCUGCUCAGCACCUCUCCCCUUCCUCUAGCUGUCAUCAGUCCCCUGCCUUCACUCCCCUCUGUUGAAAACACUGGAGUUUUAUGUGGAAUUCAAGAAACAAAACAGAGGAGCACAGAAGAAGGUGCGGGGAAUGAAACAAGAUGAAUCAGAGAGGGGGACAGACGGUAGGAGACUCUUAAUCAUAGGAAACACACUGAGGGUUGCUGGAGGGGAGGGGGAAGAGGGGAUGGGGUAAGUGGGUGAUGGGCAUCAAGGAGGGCACAUGACGGAAUGAGCGCUGGGUGUUACACGCAACUGAUGAAUCUCUGAAACCAGUAAUUCACUAUAUGCUAAUUAGAAUUUAAAUUAAAAAAAAAAACAGCACUUGACUGGCUGGACCCUAAC